rnacentral:rRNA from 1 species
UAACACAUGCAAGUCGAGGGGCAGCAUGGUCCUCUCUUGAGGAGGCCGAUGGCGACCGGCGCACGGGUGAGUAACACGUAUCCAACCUGCCGUCUACUCUUGGACAGCCUUCUGAAAGGAAGAUUAAUACAAGAUGGCAUCAUGAGUCCGCAUGUUCACAUGAUUAAAGGUAUUCCGGUAGACGAUGGGGAUGCGUUCCAUUAGAUAGUAGGCGGGGUAACGGCCCACCUAGUCUUCGAUGGAUAGGGGUUCUGAGAGGAAGGUCCCCCACAUUGGAACUGAGACACGGUCCAAACUCCUACGGGAGGCAGCAGUGAGGAAUAUUGGUCAAUGGGCGAGAGCCUGAACCAGCCAAGUAGCGUGAAGGAUGACUGCCCUAUGGGUUGUAAACUUCUUUUAUAAAGGAAUAAAGUCGGGUAUGGAUACCCGUUUGCAUGUACUUUAUGAAUAAGGAUCGGCUAACUCCGUGCCAGCAGCCGCGGUAAUACGGAGGAUCCGAGCGUUAUCCGGAUUUAUUGGGUUUAAAGGGAGCGUAGAUGGAUGUUUAAGUCAGUUGUGAAAGUUUGCGGCUCAACCGUAAAAUUGCAGUUGAUACUGGAUAUCUUGAGUGCAGUUGAGGCAGGCGGAAUUCGUGGUGUAGCGGUGAAAUGCUUAGAUAUCACGAAGAACUCCGAUUGCGAAGGCAGCCUGCUAAGCUGCAACUGACAUUGAGGCUCGAAAGUGUGGGUAUCAAACAGGAUUAGAUACCCUGGUAGUCCACACGGUAAACGAUGAAUACUCGCUGUUUGCGAUAUACUGCAAGCGGCCAAGCGAAAGCGUUAAGUAUUCCACCUGGGGAGUACGCCGGCAACGGUGAAACUCAAAGGAAUUGACGGGGGCCCGCACAAGCGGAGGAACAUGUGGUUUAAUUCGAUGAUACGCGAGGAACCUUACCCGGGCUUAAAUUGCAGAUGAAUUACGGUGAAAGCCGUAAGCCGCAAGGCAUCUGUGAAGGUGCUGCAUGGUUGUCGUCAGCUCGUGCCGUGAGGUGUCGGCUUAAGUGCCAUAACGAGCGCAACCCUUGUUGUCAGUUACUAACAGGUUCCGCUGAGGACUCUGACAAGACUGCCAUCGUAAGAUGUGAGGAAGGUGGGGAUGACGUCAAAUCAGCACGGCCCUUACGUCCGGGGCUACACACGUGUUACAAUGGGGGGUACAGAGGGCCGCUACCACGCGAGUGGAUGCCAAUCCCCAAAACCUCUCUCAGUUCGGACUGGAGUCUGCAACCCGACUCCACGAAGCUGGAUUCGCUAGUAAUCGCGCAUCAGCCACGGCGCGGUGAAUACGUUCCCGGGCCUUGUACACACCGCCCGUCAAGCCAUGGGAGCCGGGGGUACCUGAAGUGCGUAACCGCGAGGAGCGCCCUAGGGUAAAACUGGUGA